UCCCUGGUGGCCUAGUGGUUAAAGGGUCCAGCGUUGUCACUGCUGAGGCCCAGGUUUAAUCCCCGGCCCAGGAA
rnacentral:tRNA from 1 species